UAGAACUUCCACUGUGCUUCCUACCUUGCUUUUGGUCUUUACCCUUGCUGCCCCGUGAAGAUUUGCCACCACCCUUGUGCUUGUUCUUCCCGUACCUCUUGCUAUCACUAAUGAUAGGCGAUGAUUCUUGUUCAAUGAAACAUGUAACAUUGCUAUUGGAACUGGAUCGUGUACAUCAAGGUCCCAUCAUUCCCAUGUCACUGGUAUUCCCUGUUUUUCAUGGCCACCUUUCAUGGCAGAUACAAGCUUCAAAGGAGUCUCUGAGAAGAUUAGAAAUCAAGGAAAAAAAUUGGAGUGAGUGGUAAUAUGAAUUUGCCCAAAACUGAACCGUCAUAUACCAUACUAGAACUUAUCAUACGUUUGAAACAUAACUAUUUGGAAUGCACUACUACUUUACCGCAACUUUUUUCCGAGGCACUGCCUCAGUUACUAAAUAGGCAAUUAAAGAAGAGAAUAAUGGGAAAACAAAGAAAUGAACUAUCGCACUGUUGAAAUACAACAAAGGUUGGACAUCAAAAAAUUCAAAAUGGAUGGGCAAAAGGUUCACUGGCCUGCAUCCUCUAGAAUUAUUGUCUCUGAUAUAAAUUGCAUACAGAUCAUCAAGAAGAUACCUUAUAUUUUCGAAAACCAAAAGAACAGAAUUAUAAGCAAAGAUAAAGCUAGAAUAUAAUAUAGAAGAAAUUAAGCCCAUGUUUGGUAGAGAUUUUUUGAGAAUAGACUUUGUGAGAAGUAAUUUCUUUUGGAGAAUUAGGGGUUAAAAACUAGGAAAAACUUACGGGUUUACUAGUAAAAUUAUUUUAUUGGAAAAAUAUGUAAUUGAAAAUGAGCUCGAGAAAUCGGGGCCAAAUAAGGAAUAUAAAAUCGCACUCACAGGUGCACAAUUGACACAUACCUCGCGGGAAAGCAACUACGUGGCAUAAAAAAUCAUCCCUACUUUCCAGUAAUUUAACAUGAUCAUAGCAGUAUUAGUACAAUUCCAGUUCCCAACCAGACAGCUAUAGGUAAAAUACUUUAACUGUCUUGAACCAAAAACAGCAUCUGUUUUUCACUAGAAUUCCCCAUUGACAUGAGAAAGAUCGUAUGUUGGUGAAAAAUAUAGACAAAAGCUAGCUAUCAAGAAGUCUAAGUAAACUUACAGGCAAAAAAAUGGACUGUGAAUAAGACUGAUCAACAGAUUUAGCAUGGCCAUUUGGCAAAGAGACUUUCAGAGUUAUAUAAUCACCAUGCUUUUCUUUCCUGUCCACUAAUUCCACGGUGGAAAAUUUAUGCUCACCAAGAGGUGGAAUUGUUGCUAAGGCAAUUUUCAGACGAUGGAAUGCUCACCUCCCUUAUAUCUGGGUCCUUAUAUUCAUCUAUGCUUGCCACAUUGCCUAUAACAUAUUUCUCAGGAGUUGGAGCGAAGCGGUGAAGCCACAACUUGAAAUUGCCACAUCCUCAGUGCUUAGAAACUCAAUCAAACAUGAUUCCAGAUAAUUGAUAGAAACAUCACUUGCACAGUAAUGAGCUGAAUCAGGUGGAUCAGUUGAUUUGCUAAUGCUGGUUAUAUUCUGCGGACCUGGUGUAUUAUGUGUUAAGACCUGGAGUUCUAUCUUAAAAGGUCAACCUUCUUAAGAGGAGUAGCCCACCUUAUAAGUUGGUAUGUUUUAUCUUUAUUUGAUAUGUAAUUAUAUCCCUUGAUGUGCCCCGCAAGAUAGUGGCUCGUUUGAGCAAACCAAUCUUGAAAUCCAAAUGCUCAUUUAUUGAGUUUUAAUCGAAUCGAAUUGCUCGUUGAAGUUUAAUUGGCUUUGAUAUUAUGUUAAGACUUGGGGUUCCAUUUUAAAAGGUCAAUCUUCUAAAGAGGAAUAGCCCAAGACCUUAUAUGUUGGUCUAUGUUUUCAUCUUUAUUUGUUGUGAGAUUAUGUUCCUUGAUAUUAUGAAGAACACAAACUUCCGUAUACAGGAACAAGAAUGGCAGAGAAGGGCUGCACCAGCAGAGAUGGAAGCAACUAAGCACUUACGAUUAUGAAAAGUAUCACUUCCAAAAUAACACAAACAAAGCUAGAAAAAAUAUGUGGAACAGUAAAUAGGAAUAUAAUACAUUCAACUGACCUCCACUCCAGCAUUGACAUACCACUAGAUAGGAGGAAUGUAUGAGCACGAGAAAUGGCCAGUUUAUGACUUGAAAAUACUCAUAAAUCCCCCACCCAAAAAAAAAAAAGGAAAUUAACUUACGUAUAAACUGGGAUUGAAGCACCGGGCACACCAUCUGAAGGAAUUUUUAUUAAAUCAUGCCCUUUCACACCUAUUUUCUUUGGUUGUGUAAAGGCUCAUAUGAUAGAAACUUAAAAUAGAUUCAUUUCUAUGUAACUUGGUUAUUUGUGUAUAUCACCUCACUCAGCUCACUGCUCCCCUAAUUUCAUUUUUGGUAAAAUGUUCCCUGCUUAUUAUGUCUUUUAAUUUGCAAGUUUAAUGUGAUAAUGAAUAAAGCCUAAUAAUUCUAAACUGACAAAACAUUCAAGAAAUGAAUGAGCACCCAUAAUUAAGAUGAUGCCGAUCAAAUACAUCACAGAGAGAUCCAGUGAACAGUUUUACAAAGCCCGUGAAGCAGAAAGCGAAGAAAUAAACAAAUAAAAAAGAAAAAUUUCCCCGCCUACGUAUCCAAAUAGAAGAUAUAACAUAAUUCUGAUAUGAAACAUUUACAAAACAUAAAUUGAUUCAAAAACAAGAACAAAUUAAAUUAAUUUGAUUAAGAAAGUACCUUGUCCUGAUCCAAGCGUAUAAACCCUUCAAGUUACAGCUGAAAAAAUCUCCUUAAACCAGAUGCAAUGAAUAGAAAGGGGAAAUCACGGCAAAGUACUAUAGCUCAAUAACCAAUCAAAAUUAGCUCACCACCAAAUUUAUCCCUCGUAUUAUUGUAAACGAUGGAAAAUCGGAAAACAUAAUAUACAAUAUACAAAGAGCAAACAACUAGAAUAUAAACCCAUGAAAUCAGACAGAAAAAUAAAAAUUUAAGCUAAUGUUAAUUAGUAAGAUUACCACGCUGAUCAUUUUUCCAAGAUGUUUCAGGCGAUGUAGAGUUUAAACUCUCAAAUAAAAUAAUUUUUAUUGAUAAAAUACAAUUUUACACUUUUUUUUUGACUCACUUUGAUUAUAUGGAGGCACUUCUUACUAACACACUACACUACCUCACUAUGUCUCUCUUUCUCUACUUAUUCUAUCUAAUCUCACUCUCUUCACACACCUUUCACCAUACACCAUCCCCUAUUUAUAGAGGUAAGUUGGUGACAAUUCUCCUACACAAAAAUUGAUGAUUCUACAUAAUCUCAUUAAUUGAUUCUAAGUCAUCUUCCUAGAUAAAUCUAGAAUGAUGAUGAGCAAUGUAUUUUCUAGAUUUUUCAAUGGUUGAGAAGGGAUAAUAAAAUGGUAAAUCUUAGAUGAAUCUAGAAAAUUCAUGCCAAAGUCGGUGAAGCAGACAUCGAAGAGGGUAGAUUUGCUAGAUUUAAAGAAAAUGGAUGACAAAUUGCAAGAGGAAAUCAUGGAAGCACAAC
rnacentral:lncRNA from 1 species